UGUGUGUCAGGAUGCUGGAGUCUCUCUACAGGAGACUAUGAGAUACCUGGAGUCUCAGUGUCUUGAGGAGAUCGAGGCCAUGCUUAGGGGGGAGAUACAGGGCCAGGAGCUCGGGGAUCUGUUCUUCGACUGUGUGGACACCGAGAUCAAAUUCUACCAGUGAGACCGAGCAGUUGUCGUUGUGAAUGUCACUAGUGCUUGCUGAUCUGCCUGGAGAGAGAGAGACAGUCCAGAGCGCACAGGUUCCUGCCUGCUCAAAUCCUGCUCUCCUAGUUCCCCUGAUGCCAUGCCAAACUAAUUGUCAUGUCCAUGCCACACUAACUGUAA